rnacentral:rRNA from 1 species
UACGUAGGGCGCAAGCGUUGUCCGGAAUUAUUGGGCGUAAAGAGCUCGUAGGCGGUUUGUCGCGUCUGCUGUGAAAUCCUCAGGCUCAACUUGGGGCGUGCAGUGGGUACGGGCAGGCUAGAGUGCGGUAGGGGAGUCUGGAAUUCCUGGUGUAGCGGUGGAAUGCGCAGAUAUCGGGAGGAACACCGGUGGCGAAGGCGGUUCUCUGGGCCUGUACUGACGCUGAGGAGCGAAAGCGUGGGGAGCGAACAGG